GACGAACGCUGGCGGCGUGCCUAAUACAUGCAAGUAGAGCGCUGAAGGUUGGUACUUGUACCAACUGGAUGAGCAGCGAACGGGUGAGUAACGCGUGGGGAAUCUGCCUUUGAGCGGGGGACAACAUUUGGAAACGAAUGCUAAUACCGCAUAAAAACUUUAAACACAAGUUGGAAGUUUGAAAGAUGCAAUUGCAUCACUCAAAGAUGAUCCCGCGUUGUGUUAGCUAGUUGGUGAGGUAAAGGCUCACCAAGGCGAUGAUACAUAGCCGACCGGAGGGGGUGGUCGGCCACAUUGGGACUGAGACACGGCCCAAACUCCUACGGGAGGCAGCAGUAGGGAAUCUUCGGCAAUGGACGAAAGUCUGACCGAGCAACGCCGCGUGAGGGAAGAAGGUUUUCGGAUCGUAAAACUCUGUUGGUAGAGAAGAACGUUGGUGAGAGUGGAAAGCUCAUCAAGUGACGGUAACUACCCAGAAAGGGACGGCUAACUACGUG
rnacentral:rRNA from 1 species